rnacentral:ncRNA from 4 species
UGACUGCACUAGGGGUGCUUCGGCUGAGAUGUGAGCAUGGCUCCGAUCCCUUAUAACUCGAUCCAGGUAAUACUGGCGUGAGGAAGUGCGGCACUUUCUCU